rnacentral:rRNA from 1 species
UGCCAGCAGCCGCGGUAAUACGAAGGGUGCUAGCGUUGUUCGGAAUUACUGGGCGUAAAGAGCAUGUAGGCGGUUCGUUAAGUCUGAUGUGAAAACUCAGGGCUCAACCCUGAGACGCCAUCCGAUACUGCAAUGACUAGAGUCCGGUAGGGGAGCAUGGAAUUCCUGGUGUAGCGGUGGAAUGCGCAGAUAUCAGGAGGAACACCAAUGGCGAAGGCAGUGCUCUGGGCCGGUACUGACGCUGAGGAGCGAAAGCAUGGGGAGCAAAUAGGAUUAGAUA